UACGUAGGGCGCAAGCGUUAUCCGGAAUUAUUGGGCGUAAAAGAGCUCGUAGGCGGUUUGUCGCGUCUGCCGUGAAAAGUCCGGGGCUCAACUCCGGAUCUGCGGUGGGUACGGGCAGACUAGAGUGAUGUAGGGGGAGACUGGAAUUCCUGGUGUAGCGGUGAAAUGCGCAGAUAUCAGGAGGAACACCGGUGGCGAAGGCGGGUCUCUGGGCAACAACUGACGCUGAGGAGCGAAAGCGUGGGGAGCGAACAGG
rnacentral:rRNA from 1 species